rnacentral:rRNA from 1 species
AGGAUGAACGCUGGCGGCGUGCCUAACACAUGCAAGUCGAACGUCCUGUCUCGCAAGAGGCAGGGAGUGGCGGACGGGUGAGUACCACGUGGGUGAUCUACCGUGAGGUGAGGAAUACCGGCGAGAAAUCGCCGACAAGACCGCAUAGCCUCGGUGCAAGCCGAGGAAAGCUUUCUCGAGAGAGGGAGCGCCACACGAGGAGCCUGCGCCCGAUUAGCUAGCUGGUGGAGUAACGGUUCACCAGGGCGACGAUCGGUAGCUGGUCUGAGAGGACGAUCAGCCACACUGGGAUUGAGAACGGCCCAGACUCCUACGGGGGGCAGCAGUGAGGAAUUUUCGUCAAUGGGGCAACCCUGAACGAGCAACGCCGCGUGCAGGAAGAAGGUUUUCGGAUCGUAAACUGUCUUUUCGUGGGGGACGAGGCGAAGGACGGUACCCCAGGAACUCGACGCCCCGGCUAACUACGCGCCAGCAGCCGCGGUAA